rnacentral:rRNA from 1 species
UGCGUAGGCUGUGCAGAAAGUUGGGUGUGAAAUACCUCGGCUUAACCGAGGAAUUGCGCCCAAAACUACUGUGCUCGAGGAAGAUAGAGGUGAGCGGAACUUAGGGUGGAGCGGUGAAAUGCGUUGAUAUCCUAAGGAACACCGGUGGCGAAAGCGGCUCACUGGAUCUUAUCUGACGCUGAGGCACGAAAGCCAGGUAGCAAACG